AGCUCGAUUAAGCUCAGCAUGUAAAUGCAGUGAGUGGAGCCCCGAUUCGACGAUUCAACAUGGCAACGGGGAAGCGGAGGGCUGCGAAGUGGAAAUCCUAAUGCGCUAAUACGGCGAAUUUCAACACCUUUUUAGAAAGAAGUGCAACACCUAUGAAACUGUAAAAGAGAGGGAGACCGGAUGGGAGAACAUCGCUGCUCGGGUGCAAUCCCGAGGGGGAGAAGUGCACUUGGCAGCAGCUUAAGAUGAAAUAUAAAAACAUUGUUCAAACAGACAUAAAUGUCUUGUCAUCUAUAUCAUAAACCAGAAUACUGGAAGGCAUGUGGCUGAGGCAAUCCCUGGAAGGAGCUCAUCCUCUGAGUCCACCCCCCAAGACACAACUCGCCUAUGACUGAGUAAAUGAAAGAGGAAAUCAAAUGGCGUGUGUGGCUGAAAGAGGGCGGAGACAGAGAGAAACUCGAGGUCCAUGGAGUAAAACCUGGUCCCGACCAGGUUAGGUUCAUAGAGUCUGUUACUAUGGUAACUGACUGAUAACUGAAGUUACCUCUCUGUGUGAAACAGGCUAGAGU